rnacentral:rRNA from 1 species
UGGUAUUUUGACCAUACGAAGGUAUUGAAAUAAGAUUUUAAUUGAGUGCUAAGAGAAUGGAUUAAUAGGGAGUAGCUUUUUUAAUAAAAAUAUUAUAAUUUUAAUUAAAGAUUAAAAUGUCUUUAUAAAUAAGUGGGACAAGAAGACCCUAGAAUCUUUAUAUGAUAUUAUAUAUAUGUAUAUGUAUUAUAUUUUGUUGGGGUGACAUAAAAAUAUUAGAAAACUUUAUAUAGAUCUUUUUUAAAAAAAAAUGUUAAGAUACUCUAGGGAUAACAGCGUUAUUAUUUCGGAUAGUUCAUAUUGAUGAAAUAGUUUGCGACCUCGAUGUUGAAUUAAUGAGUCUUAUUAUUGAAGAAGGUAAUAAAGAGAGAUUGCUCAUCUUUUAAAUCAUUA